GUUGAGGUGGCGUGACUGGCGUGAAUUCGGCGUGCCCUGUCUGCAAUCCUGCCUUUCAGGGCAGUAAGGACAAGAUCCACCCACCACCCAGUGCAUGCUACAUAUGUGUGUGUAAUAAAUUGAGAGGGAAAGUGUGUGUGUGAUAUAUGAAAUGUAAUAAAGUAAGUAAAAUUUUGAA